AACAGGGCUUCCCGUCCGCUCAGCCGUACUUAAGCCACACGCCGGCCGGUUAGUAGUUGGGUGGGUGACCACCAGCGAAUCCCGGCUGUUGUAUGUU
rnacentral:rRNA from 1 species